AGGGGUGUAGCUCAGCUGGUAGAGCGCCGGUCUCCAAAACCGGAUGUCGUGGGUUCGAAUCCUGCCACCCCUGCCA
rnacentral:tRNA from 1 species